GCUAAAUUAUAAAUUUUAAUUUGAUGUGUUAAAUAGGUAUUGUUGUAAAAAUCUUAAUAUUUCAAUACUUCUUGCACAAUUUUAAUACAAGUUAAACAGUUUUAAUGUAUUUAGCAAUAAUAUAAACCUACAUUGUUUCUGGUUCUAGGCAGAUUUUUAAUUAAUGUUGUAAACGGGAACCAAGAAGUUCUGCUUUAGAUCUAAAUAAUUGUAAAUCGUGAUAAAUUGUAAAAAAGUAAAUUAGAUCAUUUAAUUCAGUUUGUUCAAUUAAAUGUGGUAUAUUUUCUUGAAGUGAGAACUCGUAAGAAUCACUAGAAAUUGAUUUGAAUUCAACAUCACUUUCAUUGUCAUCUAGUAUGUUUGUACCCGAAUUACUGGGACAAACUGUGUGUGGUAAAUCUUUCAAAUGUAAUAUGGGCCUAGUAACAGACGGAACUUCGGCAUGUAUAAUACUUGCCUAAUUUUUUUUAUUAUAUCCCAAUGUCUUCGUAACACAAAAGUAACAAUCAUAUUUUUACCAUGAUUACUAGGUUCUCUCCAUAGCAUUGUUGAAUCAAAUGAAUGGUAAACGUUUUCUCCUAAUGACCACUGGAGCAAUAUGAUUCUACAGCUUUCGCAAAACAUAUGCACCACCCACUUUUUGUCCUGAUUUGUAACAGGAAAUCCAAAAUAAUGAAGAUAUGCACUUUUCAACUAAUCUACAAUGGAUCUUUUCUUUUUUGAAAGUAUAAACUGCUCACAAACAUAAAAACGAUCAGAAUUUUGUUUACACUUUUUACUCGACAUUUUAAAUCAAUUUGAAACAAAAUAAUUAUCAUUUGAACAGAUGAAUAAACAAUAAACUGUCGUCAACACGUUAAGUAGUUAAAAAAAAAACAUUUGACUGUAGGAAGUAAUUAUGACGUGUUAAACUAUUUAUGCUAAUACUUUUAGGUUUAAGGAAUGUAGAUUAAAAUAUUUUUAAUACAUUUAUUUCGGAGUAUAUAAAUAAGUUCAAUUUUGUAAACUAAUGUAAUUAACUAAUUAUUAAGAGGUCUUUCACAUUUUUUGCACAAAACAACGUAAAUCAGAGAUUUUAGGUUUCUGGUUCUAAACAAUUAAGGUUUUAUACAUUUUAAUUCCUGAAUUAUAUAGAUACAUGUCUAAUCUUAAAAACAGAAUUUUUAAAUUGUUACAUUUCUUUUUAUUAUGUACUCAUUUCUUCCUGAUUUCUAAAGUCGUUUAAAAUGUUAAGAGACUGAAGUUUGGGGUCGUCGUUCAAUAAUGAAGAAACAUAAAAAUGGUAUUAUAUCGUUAUUAAAACUUGUUAAUUAUUCUAUAAAUUGAGAGUGAUAUAUUUUUUUUUAUUUUCAACACAAAUACCUAAGUAAAUUGAACAUAACUGAACCCAACUUUUUACCAAAACUUCCAAAAUCAUUUCAAAAUUUCUCAAAAAUACUACGAUAAAUUUGCAUAAAAAAUACAUAAUCAAAGAGUUAAUAUAUUUGUAUUCAAAUAUAAUAAAAAAAUCAUAAGUUACUAGGUAAAAAUUUUGGAAUAAUAAUAAUUUAAUGCUGUAUAAAUAUUGUUUCGUCAAACGUGAAGACACACUAUCGCGCUAGCGCUUGUCAAGAAAUUAGCUCUGUCAUUUUGCGACAUGGCUACGACACGAUGCCCGUACGCAUUUGACGUUGUGAACAACACUAUAGCGUGACUACCCAAUUUUAAUACCCAUGCCAAAAAAAGUACAGUUCUCCGACAAAAAGCAAUAUCCAGCUACACUAAGAAAAGCGCAAGAAGCAAGAAAGAAAAAGGAUUUAAUGAACGAUUCUAAUAAGGUUUGAUUUUUAUCUCCAGUAUCUAAUCACCACAACAAUUUUAAAUUUCCUAUUAAAACUAUGUGUAAUUUUAACAUUUUAUUUUUUUUAAGACGCACACAAAUGCUUCUUUAUAAAUAUAAUCUCACCAAAAUAUAAAAUGUAAAAGUUGUGUGAUCUCAUAUAAAACUAAGUCAGUUUUAUUUAUAGUGACCAUAUCAAAUUAGAUAUCUUUAUUUCUAUAAUAAUUAUAAUUACUGAGCAUUUGGAUGGUAACAUAUUCUACUAAUAAAAUACUUUAAAUCUAAAUAUGUAUUCUUUAGAUUUUUUAUGCAAUUCAACAACUUAAUAUUUCAAAUAUAUAGACAUCGUCUAGUUGCAAUUUUAUUAUAUUACUAAGAUUACCUAUCUUUUUACCAUAAAAUUUUUGAAAUCUAAGUAAAUUUAAUGAAUUUUAUUUUUAAUAAAUCUUUGUUUUACUUUCACUUAAAAUGCGAUACAAUAUAUUUAUUUAUUUAAUUUACACUUUAUUGCACCAUUUAUAAAAUAAUAAAAAGGAAUAUAAAAGGCGGCCUUAUUGCUAAGCAAUCUCUUCCAGACAACCUUUGGGUAGAGGACAUAGACAAUAUGGUUAUUAUAUUUAAGAUUAUUUUAUUUUGUCUAUAUUAUUUGCUUACUAAAAUAAAAUAUUUGAAACAAGUAAAUAUGGCAAUAAUGUAUCAAACUAUUGUAUUUAAAUUAUCUUGAAUUUAUUGUUUGUAAUUUUUGUAUGAUAUUUUUAAUAAUUAAUGCAAUAAAAAGUAUUAAUAAAUAAAUUAUGUUUUAAUAAUUUCAUCUUCCUGUUCUUAAUCCAAUUUUUUUAAUAAUAAAGAUUUAUUGCAAUUAAAAAUAUACAGUCAUGGGCUUACUGUAAUUUUAAAGUGAAUGUAUUAAAUGUAACAUUAUGCCCAGCACAGUAGUGUCUAAAUUAGAGCUAGCCUGUAUCUUAGAUUCCAAUGCUUUCAAUUACAUACAUAUUUUCGUGCAGUUUCGCUAUAUUAUAAUAGUACAAAUUUCAGUAAACAACAUAUUUUAUAUUAGUAAAAUAGGGUAUCUUUAAAAUAAAUUAUAAUGUAUCGAAAAAUGUGCUAUUAUUAGUAAAAUAGAUGUCGUGCUCUGCAUUGUUCAACUGGUGAUUAGUGCGAUUAAAAAUGAGACAGGUGAGACCAAUAUAAAUGUUUUUUUUUUCAAUUGAUUUUUUUCCUAAUAUAAUUUUAUUUUCUGUGAUAGCUGAAGAUUAUAUCAUUUUACAAUUCAUUUGUAUAUUUCAAACAAAUACACAAUUAUAUACAUAGAUUAAAUAGAUAAAUUCAUACAUCUUCACAAAUACACAGUUGCACUACUUGGCACCAGAACGAUAUAUAGGUAGCGAUUGGAAAUGGACAAAGAUACGGGAAACGUUAGGGCAAAAACUAUUAUCCAUGCCCUCCAUGCAAUAAUACUACCAUAUAAAUAGCGUAAUGUUUUUAUAUAGCUAUGCAGCUAUACAAAUAGUCAUAUCUCAACUCCAAAUAUUAUUUAUUCCCGUACAUUAAUACACUCGUACAUAGGUUAAUAAAAUUAAGUCAUACAAAAUAGUUUUUCCGUUUUAUCAUAAUCUAGGGGUUUUAACCAAGGUACUAACUUAUUCAUAAUUUGAUAAUUAUUGGGGUUGAAUAUGUUUUACCCAUACUACCUAAGAUUUUGGCUUUUAGGAUUAGCCGUUUCCCUGAUGUCAACCAUACCAAAUUCGCUACACGUUUAUUUGCGUCUGUGCAAAUCAAUGCGCGACCAAACUUUCAAAUAUCAUUUUGUAAUAGUCCUCUUAAUAUGAAAUUUUAAUUUUUUGUAAAGCGCAUAUUAAACGUUAUUUAAUGUUUACUGGAUGUAUGAAUUCAGUUUAUUUUUAUUUAUUUAAACGUUAUUGACUAAUAAAAUAUGGCACAAAAGUCCGUUAUUUAUUAUGUAGGUGUGUUUGUGAAUAUUUCGUGCAACAUAAUGUCUUCAAUAGUUUAAUGCACGUAUGAGAUGUUGGCUAACAUAAGCAUAGAAUAAAUAAGGCAUAAAUGAAUUAUUAGCCACUGUGUCACGAUUUUUUUUUAAGAUUCUGAAUUCUAAAUGAGAACUCUUAAAAAAUGCAGGCGUAUUUUUUUGAGUCAACUAUCACAGUAUUUACAUUAUAUAAA